rnacentral:rRNA from 1 species
AUAGCCUUCAGCAGACCCAGUAUUGAAGGUGAUGCCUGCCCAGUGACCCCCAGUUCAACGGCCGCGGUAUCCUAACCGUGCGAAGGUAGCGCAAUCAAUUGUCCCAUAAAUCGAGACUUGUAUGAAUGGCUAAACGAGGUCUUAACUGUCUCUUGCAGAUAGUCAGUGAAAUUGAUCUUCCCGUGCAAAAGCAGGAAUAAGCACAUAAGACGAGAAGACCCUGUGGAACUUAAAAAUCAGCAGCCACCACACAAAAAUACACGCCUACCAGGCCCACAGUCAAAAUCAAGCGCUGGCUCGCAUUUUUUGGUUGGGGCGACCUUGGAGAAAAGAAGAGCCUCCAAAAAUAAGACCACCCCUCUUAACUAAGAGCAACCCCUCAACGUACAAAUAGUAACCAGACCCAAUAGCAAUUGAUCAAUGGACCAAGCUACCCCAGGGAUAACAGCGCAAUCUCUCCCAAGAGCCCCUAUCGACGGAGAGGUUUACGACCUCGAUGUUGGAUCAGGACAUCCUAAUGGUGCAGCCGCUAUUAAGGGUUCGUUUGUUCAACGAUUAACAGUCCUACG